AGGAAUCUGCCUGGUAGUGGGGGACAACGUUUCGGAAGGAACGCUAAUACCGCAUACGUCCUACGGGAGAAAGCAGGGGACCUUCGGGCCUUGCGCUAUCAGAUGAGCCUAGGUCGGAUUAGCUAGUUGGUGGGGUAAUGGCUCACCAAGGCGACGAUCCGUAACUGGUCUGAGAGGAUGAUCAGUCACACUGGAACUGAGACACGGUCCAGACUCCUACGGGAGGCAGCAGUGGGGAAUAUUGGACAAUGGGCGAAAGCCUGAUCCAGCCGUGCCGCGUGUGUGAAGAAGGUCUUCGGAUUGUAAAGCACUUUAAGUUGGGAGGAAGGGCAUUAACCUAAUACGUUAGUGUUUUGACGUUACCGACAGAAUAAGCACCGGCUAACUCUGUGCCAGCAGCCGCGGUAAUACAGAGGGUGCAAGCGUUAAUCGGAAUUACUGGGCGUAAAGCGCGCGUAGGUGGUUUGUUAAGUUGGAUGUGAAAGCCCCGGGCUCAACCUGGGAACUGCAUCCAAAACUGGCAAGCUAGAGUACGGUAGAGGGUGGUAGAAUUUCCUGU
rnacentral:rRNA from 1 species